AGCGAACGCUGCCGGCAGGCUUAACACAUGCAAGUCGAGCGGGCAUAGCAAUAUGUCAGCGGCAGACGGGUGAGUAACGCGUGGGAACGUACCUUUUGGUUCGGAACAACACAGGGAAACUUGUGCUAAUACCGGAUAAGCCCUUACGGGGAAAGAUUUAUCGCCGAAAGAUCGGCCCGCGUCUGAUUAGCUAGUUGGUGAGGUAAUGGCUCACCAAGGCGACGAUCAGUAGCUGGUCUGAGAGGAUGAUCAGCCACAUUGGGGCUGAGACACGGUCCAAACUCCUACGGGAGGGGGGAGAGGGGGAUAUUGGAACAUGGGGGGAGGGAUGAUCCACCCAUGCCGGGUGAGUGAUGAAGGCCGUAAAGAUGAAAAGCUCUUUUAUGCGGGAAGAUAAUGACGGUACCGAAAGAAUAAGCCCCGGCUAACUUCGUG
rnacentral:rRNA from 1 species